UCAGUCGAAUCCCUCAAGAGUGACUUAGAAAGGCAUAAGUUGGUUGAGUUGUGUUAGAUUAGGAUUAUUUUGAUAAGAAUGAGUUUUGGGCCCAACCUUGAGUUAGGGCCCAAGUUUAGUUAAGCCUUUUAGUUGAUUUUAGGCUUAAUAUUGCCUUGUAUUGGAGUUUAAGCAACGAUCGCGUAAGAAUAGACCUAUUCUUAAUGACACAAGUAGAGAAUUUAAGGUAUGAGCCCUGGCCUAGUUUGUUAUACACUUUUGAGUGAUUCAGUUUUACCCUAAUAACUUAGAAUGUCGUCUCAUGUGUGUAAACUGUGUUCUAAGACAUUCACUAAAAGGUUUUCUCUGAAGAGACAUUAUAAUAAUGUUCACAACGAAUACAGCCCUAAUGUCGGAGACCCAAGGUGUUCACAAACUGUUCAGUGUGCAAUAUGUGCUUCAGACCUUGUUAAUACAGCCAAUUUGAAUGAUCACUUAUAUUCUAAACAUCAGAUUAAUAUCAAAUCGGAGGAAAUUUCAUUCAUUUGUGAAGAAGAAUUUUUAAAGUGGAAGAAGUGUCAUGAAGAAAGUGAAAAAACUCUGUUUAUCAACAGAAGAGGUAGCUACACAUAUAAAGACAAGAAAAUCACUUACUAUCAGUGCCAUCGAUCGGGUAAUUACAGAACGCACUUAUCUUCUGAGUCUUGUCGCAAACGAUCCAUAAAAAUUCAGGGAACAAAGAAAAUAAAUAGUUACUGCCCUGCAAAAAUUAAAGCUACUACUUCGAUGGUAAAUGGUAGCGUUAAAGUGGAAUUUUGUAAGACUCAUAUAGGACAUCAAGCUGAGAUAGCCCAUUUGAGUAUCCCUAAAGAUGAACGACAAAGUAUUGCAACCAAAAUUGCCCAACAAAUCCCGUUUGAAGCUAUUAUUGAUGAGGCUCGGCAAACUGUUACCAACGAGAUUACAAGGAGACAUCUUCUGACAAAACAAGAUCUUAGAAAUAUAGUGAGAGACUAUAGUUUAGAUGAUGAAUGUGUUAGAAAUAUAGUGAGAGAUUAUAGUUUAAUUAAUGAAUGUGUACGACAUACAAAUGAUACGAUCAAUGUUGAAAAAGGGGUAGAAAUGGAAAUAGAUAAAAAGUGACAAGAACUCAUUCAUUAGUGUACAAACCUCAGGGUCUUCAUCUGAUUAAUUUUGGGAAACACAGGUUAAACUGAAGUUUUAUAAUUGAAGAUGAAUUACAGUGUAAGCAGCUUCUUGUCUGGACUCUAACUUUAACAGGGAAAGGAAAAUAGAAAUCUUCAGACCGUGAGUGCUCAUGCUUCAAACCACAAUAAUGCCUCAUGUAGUUGUGUUGUGAGAAAAUUUGGUUGAAAAUAUAUGUAGAAAUGUCUGCUUUAGCUGAAAGAACAAUAGGUUUCAAAGGGGACUGCAAAAAAAUGUACAAAAGAACUUUUGUAUUUAAGUGAAUUUUAACAUUGUACAAUAAUGUAUUACAGUGAUUGUGCCUUAUAA